AAAAGAAACCAUGUUAUUUCCUAGAAUGUAAUGAAUGAGCUGGGAGAUGCUGGGGCAGGCUCCUUGGACCCUGGUCAGAAGUUCCUUUGGUGAAUGAUCCUGCAGACAUCACACGGGCUCAAAGGGCAUCAGAACCCCAGCUGAGAGGAGCCUCAGUAUCAGACGCAGCCGCCCAGCCUGCCUGCUGCAGUAGAAAUCGUACAACUGACAGAACGGAAGCUUUGUGACACCAAGGUACCAAAUUACAAACAGCAACUAAGGCCAUGCCAGGCAAGGGUGGAGUCACACACCCCUCGACUUAAGGAAUAAACUGUUCUGAUUGCCACAGGGUUUUCUUUUUCUCUAGCAGCUAAAUAAGCACUGUUAAAACCAUGGUAGCUCAGCACCAGGCACGGACUAACUCGCCCCCAACCCCUGUUCUAGCAGCUGUAACUACAGCUCUGAUGGGACAGGAGAUUGUUUUUAGUAACUUUCUUGUAUUAAGAGCCCACCCACCAU